rnacentral:rRNA from 1 species
AGCUUGCUCCCGGUGGUUAGCGGCGGACGGGUGAGUAACACGUGGGCAACCUGCCUGUAAGACUGGGAUAACACCGGGAAACCGGUGCUAAUACCGGAUAAUUCUUAUCGACACAUGUCGGUAAGCUGAAAGUCGGUUUCGGCUGACACUUACAGAUGGGCCCGCGGCGCAUUAGCUAGUUGGUGAGGUAACGGCUCACCAAGGCGACGAUGCGUAGCCGACCUGAGAGGGUGAUCGGCCACACUGGGACUGAGACACGGCCCAGACUCCUACGGGAGGCAGCAGUGGUCAUGCUUU